GACGAACGCUGGCGGCGUGCUUAACACAUGCAAGUCGAACGGUGAUCCACUUCGGUGGUGAUCAGUGGCGAACGGGUGAGUAACACGUGGGCAACCUGCCCCUAGCUCUGGGAUAACCCCGGGAAACCGGGGCUAAUACCGGAUACGACUUCGAGCGGCAUCACUCGAGGUGGAAAGGAUUCUGGCUAGGGAUGGGCCCGCGGCCUAUCAGCUUGUUGGUGGGGUAACGGCCCACCAAGGCGACGACGGGUAGCCGGCCUGAGAGGGCGACCGGCCA
rnacentral:rRNA from 1 species